GAGUUUGAUCGUGGCUCAGAACGAACGCUGGCGGCAUGCCUAACACAUGCAAGUCGAAACGGGAUCCAGGCUUUCGGCCUGGUGAGAGUGGCGGACGGGUGAGUAACGCGUGGGAACCUGCCCAAUGGUCUGGGAUAACCGCGGGAAACUGCGGCUAAAUACCGGAUAAGCCCGAGAGGGGAAAGAUUUAUCGCCGAUGGAGGGGCCCGCGUCCGAUUAGGUAGUUGGUGAGGUAACGGCGUCACCAAGCC
rnacentral:rRNA from 1 species